rnacentral:rRNA from 1 species
GACGAACGCUGGCGGCGUGCCUAAUACAUGCAAGUAGAACGCUGAAGGAGGAGCUUGCUUCUCCGGAUGAGUUGCGAACGGGUGAGUAACGCGUAGGUAACCUGCCUGGUAGCGGGGGAUAACUAUUGGAAACGAUAGCUAAUACCGCAUAAGAGUAGAUGUCGCAUGACAUUUGCUUAAAAGGUGCAACUGCACCACUACCAGAUGGACCUGCGUUGUAUUAGCUAGUUGGUGAGGUAACGGCUCACCACGGCAACGAUACAUAGCCGACCUGAGAGGGUGAUCGGCCACACUGGGACUGAGACACGGCCCAGACUCCUACGGGAGGCAGCAGUAGGGAAUCUUCGGCAAUGGACGGAAGUCUGACCGAGCAACGCCGCGUGAGUGAAGAAGGUUUUCGGAUCGUAAAGCUCUGUUGUAAGAGAAGAACGAGUGUGAGAGUGGAAAGUUCACACUGUGACGGUAGCUUACCAGAAAGGGACGGCUAACUACGUG